rnacentral:rRNA from 1 species
ACUCCUACGGGAGGCAGCAGUAGGGAAUCUUCCACAAUGGGCGAAAGCCUGAUGGAGCAACGCCGCGUGGGUGAAGAAGGUCUUCGGAUCGUAAAACCCUGUUGUUAGAGAAGAAAGUGCGUGAGAGUAACUGUUCACGUUUCGACGGUAUCUAACCAGAAAGCCACGGCUAACUACGUGCCAGCAGCCGCGGUAAUACGUAGGUGGCAAGCGUUAUCCGGAUUUAUUGGGCGUAAAGGGAACGCAGGCGGUCUUUUAAGUCUGAUGUGAAAGCCUUCGGCUUAACCGGAGUAGUGCAUUGGAAACUGGGAGACUUGAGUGCAGAAGAGGAGAGUGGAACUCCAUGUGUAGCGGUGAAAUGCGUAGAUAUAUGGAAGAACACCAGUGGCGAAAGCGGCUCUCUGGUCUGUAACUGACGCUGAGGUUCGAAAGCGUGGGUAGCAAACAGGAUUAGAUACCCUGGUAGGAUAGCG